rnacentral:rRNA from 1 species
GAUGAACGCUGGCGGCGUGCCUAAUACAUGCAAGUCGAGCGAACAGACGAGGAGCUUGCUCCUCUGACGUUAGCGGCGGACGGGUGAGUAACACGUGGAUAACCUACCUAUAAGACUGGGAUAACUUCGGGAAACCGGAGCUAAUACCGGAUAAUAUAUUGAACCGCAUGGUUCAAUAGUGAAAGACGGUUUUGCUGUCACUUAUAGAUGGAUCCGCGCCGCAUUAGCUAGUUGGUAAGGUAACGGCUUACCAAGGCGACUAUGCGUAGCCGACCUGAGGGGGUGAUCGGCCACACUGGAACUGAGACACGGUCCAGACUCCUACGGGAGGCAGCAGUAGGGAAUCUUCCGCAAUGGGCGAAAGCCUGACGGAGCAACGCCGCGUGAGUGAUGAAGGUCUUCGGACCGUAAAACUCUGUUAUUAGGGAAGAACAAAUGUGUAAGUAACUAUGCACGUCUUGACGGUACCUAAUCAGAAAGCCACGGCUAACUACGUG